UCACCCCUCAAGCCCUCGGCUUGGUGUUACGGUUUGGUGGAGGCCCCCUCGGGGGCUCCUGCCCCUCCCAAAGACAAUGACGGCGGCCUCGUUGGACCCCCGGUACACUGAGUUCUUCACGGGACACGUAUCGGACACAUGGGUUUACGGGACUUGGUCUGCCUCCCCUCAGGGAGAAUCUUUCUAA
rnacentral:misc_RNA from 1 species